UACGGAGGGGGCUAGCGUUGUUCGGAAUUACUGGGCGUAAAGCGUACGCAGGCGGAUUGUUAAGUUAGAGGUGAAAUCCCGGGGCUCAACCCCGGAACUGCCUUUAAAACUGGCAAUCUAGAGUUAUGGAGAGGUAAGUGGAAUUCCUAGUGUAGAGGUGAAAUUCGUAGAUAUUAGGAGGAACACCAGAGGCGAAGGCGGCUUACUGGACAUAUACUGACGCUGAGGUACGAAAGCGUGGGGAGCGAACAGG
rnacentral:rRNA from 1 species